UUGGCCUGGAAACCAGGAAAGGGAAUAACAUUUGAAAUGUAAAUAAGAAAUACCCAAUUUAAUAAAGAUGGGAAAAAGAAAAAGAAAAAAAUGUUAAAAAGCUUAUGCACAGUUAAACUUCUCAGAUAUUUAAAUGUAUUAGUAAAAAUAUAUCCUAUAAUGUCUGCAAUUUCAUACACAGAUGUUUUAAAUUAGGCCAAGGGUAGUGAUUACAGUAGAUAAAAAUGUAAAGUUGGAUGGCUCUGUUUUGUUCAUUAGUUACUUUUAAGAAUUGUAGGUACAGAUUGAGUUUUCUUUACAAGAAGACAGUUAUCACAAGGACAUAUAACACAACCAGGGUUUACAUCUCAGUAAAACAAAGAAAUGCCACGUGUUGGUAUCUUUGAGAUGUAAGAAAGGUCUAAUGAAAAGGAAGAAGGUCAAAGGUGAAGCGUGGUGUGUGGAAUUAGAUCACUACUGUGCCCUACUUAACAGUUAGUUAACGGAGACGUGUACUCACAGGUGGGAAAUGUUAAUACAGCACAGGAUCUUCUUUUCCCUCUAAGUUUUAUUCUAGAACAGGAACAGGUCAUGUGAUAUUCCCCUCUGACAUGGAAUUUUCUUUUGGAGCUAAAGAAGGAAGAGGCAAUGUAAGAUUCGAGUAGAGGGGUUGAGAAAAGUUAAUAUAGGUAGGUGUGUGUGUGUGUGUGUGUGUGUGUGUGUGUAUUCAUGUGUGCAUGUGUGCAUGUGUACACGCGUGUGUGUGCAUGCGUGUGUCUGUGUUCAUAUGUGCAUGCGUGUGUUAUCUUUCUUCUGGCAUGAUCUCUAAAUUUUUCUUAUUAGUUUUCAAUUCACUUUUAACACCUCCUUUUAACUUAGAUGUAGUUUCCUGAGCUCUUAUUAAUUUUUUAAAUCACCAGUUCUCUCAUUUUUCUUUAGAUGUUCAAAUUUUCAAAUUAAAGUAGGCUGCAGAUUCGUAUUUUUUCAUUUUUCAUUUUCAUCUCAUGUAGUACAUCCUGACUGCAGUCCCCCCUCCUCCCAGUUUUUCCCCCUCCCCCCUCAUCCACUUCUCCUCCAUUUCCCUUCAGAAAAGUGCAAGCUUCCCAGGUCUAUCAACCAAGCACGGCAUAUCAGGUUGCAAUAAGACAAGACACCUCUCCUCAUAUCAAGGCUGGAUGAGGUGACUCAAGGGGAGGAAAAGGGCUCCAGAAGCAGGCAAAAGAGUCAGAGACACCCCUUACUUCCACCGUUAGGGGCCCCACAAGAGGGCCAAGCUAUAUAACCAUAACAUACUUGCAAGGGCCUAGGUCAAGUCCCAUGCAGGCUCUGUGACUGUUGCUUCAGUCUCUGUGAGCCCCUAUGAGCCCAGGUUAGUUGAUUCUGCAGGUUUUCUUGUGUUGUUCUUGUCCCCUUUGGCUCCUACUACAAUCCUUCCCUUCUCUCUUCCUCAGGAUUUUGUGGUCUCUGCCGAAUGUUUGGCUGUGGUUCUCUGUAUCAGUUUCUUCUCAUUAAUUAUGCUAGGCUCCUGCCUGGAAGUGUAGCAUACAACCAUUAGGACUCUUUUUAUUUUAUUGGUUUCUUUUGCUAGUGAUGUUUGCUUCUACCCUAGGUACCUGGGCUAUCCGUCCCCUGUUCCUCGCUCUCCAAGGCAGUGUCAGGGGUUGGCUCCCUAUCAUGGCAUGGAUCUCAAUCGGGGCUGGUCAUUGUUUGGCCAUUCCCCUAAUUUCUGAGGUUUCUCGGAAAACUGGGACUUGAUCUAUCUCAAGACCUCGCUAUAUCACUCCUGGGCAUAUACCCAAAGGACACUUUAAUCCUACCACGCUGACACUUGCUCACCUACGUUUACAACAGUUUUAUUCAUAAUAGCCAGAAACUGGAAACAACCUAGAUGUCCCUCAACUGAAAAAAUGGUACAUCCAUCAAUGGAAUAUACAUUGCUCAGCCGUUAGAAAAAAUACCAACAUCAAAUUUUCAGGCAGACUGAUGGAACUAGAGAAAAUAAUUAUCCUGAGUGAGGUGACUCAGACCCAGAAAGAUAAACAUCAUAGGUAUUCAGUUAUAAGUGGAUGUAGCCGUCAAGUAAAGGAUAACUAUGCUAUUAAUUACAGACCCAGAGAGGCUAAGUACUAAGGAGGGCUCAGGUGGGACACAUGAAUCUCCCUGGGAAGGAGAAAUAGAGCUAUUGCUGGUGGACUAGGGUAGGUGGGAUGGGAACAGGAGGGAUCAGGUCAGGGGAGGAUUGUGGGAGAAAAUACUGGGAGAGACAACUGGAAUUGGGGGCACCUUAGGGGCAAGGCAGAAACCUAGUGCAAUGGAAACUUCCUGGAAUCUAUGAGGGUGACCCUAACAAAGACACCUAAUAAAGGACACAGAGCCUGAACCGGCGAUCUCUGUAACCAGGCAAGACUUGCAAUGGAGGGUUUGGGACAGCAACACAGUCUCGAAACCUUUGACCUACAAUUUUGUUCCACUUACAAGAUGUACUGUGGUAAAGGUUACCUAUUCAUUUUUAAUUCUAUUCUUUAAUUCUGUUGCCUAAGUCUUUCAGGUUGGUGUGCAAAGAAGAAUCUAUUUAGGAUCAAAUGUUCUCCAUUGAGAAAACUAAUCUUUUUUUUUAUCUUUCUUUUUUUUUUCUUUACUUUUUUUUGGAGCUGGGGACUGAACCCAGGGCCUUGUGCUUGGUAGGCAAGCGCUCUACCACUGAGCCAAAUCCCCAACCCCCCCCCCUUUUUUUAUCUUUCUUAAAUUGGGUAUUUCUUAUUUACAUUUCAAAUGUUAUUCCCUUUCCUGGAUUCCAGGCCAACAUCCCCCUAACCCCUCCCCCUCCCCUUCUAUAUGGGUGUUUCCCUCCCAAUCCUCCCCCCAUUACUGCCCUCCCCCCAACAAUCCCGUUCACUGGGGGUCCAGCCUUGGCAGGGCCAAGGGCUUCCCCUUCCACUGGUGCUCUUACUAGGAUAUUCAUUGCUACCUAUGAGGUCAGAGUCCAGGGUCAGUCCAUGUAUAGUCUUUAGGUAGUGGCUUAGUCCCUGGAAGCUCUGGUUGCUUGGCAUUGUUGUACAUAUGGGGUCUCAAGUCCCUUCAGCUCUUUCAGUCCUUUCUCUGAUUCCUUCAACGGGGGUCCUGUGAGAGCACUAAUCUUAAGUUAGACUUGUCCAUUUUCUAAAUACUUAUAAGCUUAUUUAAUGCCUUUCUCAAACCCAAGGCUGGUUGGAGUAUCAAAUGGCAGGUUUUUAAAAACCCAUUUCCUUCUUCCUUGAAAUAAACACUGAAUGAGAAGCCAAAUGAUUGUAAUUUAACCAACUGGGUAGUCCAAAACCAACCAACCAACCAACCAACCAACCAACCAACCAACCAACCAACCAAACGUGUCCAAACACUUUGAAACUGUAUGUUAAAAGCAAACAGAAUGGUGCAGAGAUGACUCAACAGUUGAGAGCACUGGUCAUUCUUUCAGAGAACCGAGGUUCGAUUCCCAGCACCCGCAUCAGGCGUCUCACAAUCAUCUGUAAUUCCAGUUCCAGGGCAUCCACUGAUGCCUUCUGACUCCUUCAGACACCAGGUACACAAGCAGCGUACAGAUAUACAUGCACACAAAAUAUCCAUACACAUAAAAUGGAAUAAAAUUACACCUUAAGCUAAAGGUUCUGAAACCUGUUAGCAGCAGUGCAGAGAAGCUACCAAACUAGGCCACUCCGUGAGGAGAACUCAUGUUUGAGUGUGCUAACAGUUUUAAGGAAACCUUUAUAGGAACAGAAACAAGAAAACCCUGGUUACCGCAAAGCUGGAAAGCCUCUCGUAUAAACCUGUUAUCUGAAGACAUUAUUAGCCUUGUUAGGGGUCUGUUUGUACAUUCCAGAGUGAAUUUCUAUCUGUUGGUCACAAGGCUCUCAGGUCAAGCAGAGAUGUGGGCAAUAAGUUGUUAUCUAGGGUGCUUGAAUGGCCCAGGAUAAUUUAUCUCCUGGACCCGUGACCUCCCAGGUCUGAGAACUUCAGUUCAUAAAUGAUUGCUCCUUGGAGAUGGAGUUGUGAUUUUGUUUUUGUUUUCUGUUUCACCAGUCUCUUCUUUUUUCUAUCCCACUUGCUCUCGUGUCUGCCUUCUCUCUCAUGCUGGGCUUGGGGCCAGGGUUGUGUGGAUAGAAUACAAGUGUCCUACUGCUGAACAACACCCUCUGGCAGAAAUGUUAAUUUUCUUUUUCCUAUUUCUCUCCCCUCUGCUACAGUUAAGAGACAUAACUUUAUAAUCAGAUCGCUGUUAGCACCAUACUCCCUCUCUACCCUCCUUUCUCUCUCUUCCAGGCUCCCCAUUGGCUACGUCCUCCUGUGUGUGAAUGUAGUUUAACACGCAGAGGUGUUCUUUGAGUGUGGACUGAACUACGAUCUUCCCACGUCACCAGUGCCUUUCCAGGGAUCUCACUGUACAUCCCGCAAUGGGCUCAAACGCGUCACUCUACCGUCCCGACCUCCCAAGUGGCUGUGAUUACAGGUUUAGACAACCAGGCAGCAAUGGACUGAGCUCAGAGUUGCAGGGUCUCAGCUGUCACAGUAGACACACACACAGUGCAUGUGGUUUCAAGCUGCCGUCAUCAACUUUCUAAGCAUUCAGGUUGUCUGUAAACACGGCCCAUCGGCCCACACACGGCCAGUGCUUACAGUAACUUCCAUGUCGUGGCUAUGGAAACCACCUUGGCAGGCAGUCGGGUGUGGCUGGCAAGAUAAAUCUUCACUUUCACCCUCACAUCGAAGGGCCGAGAAGCACCUAAAGAAAUGUUCAACAUCUUUAGUCAUCAGGGACAUGCAAAUCAAAACAACCCUGAGAUUUGACCUCACACCAGUCAGAAUGGCUAAGAUCAAAAACCCAGCUGACAGAAGAUACUGAUGAGGAUGUGGAGAAAGAGGAACACUCCUCCACUGUUGGUGGGAUUGCAAGCUGGGACAACCUCUGGAAAUCAGUCUGGAGGUUCCUCAGAAACUUGGACACAGUACUACCUGAGGACCCAGCUAUUCCACUCCUGGGCAUAUAACCAAAAGAUGCUCCAACAUAUAACAAGGACACGUGCUCCACUAUGUUCAUAGCAGCCUUAUUUAUAAUAGCUAGAAGUUGGAAAGAACCCAGAAGUCCCUCAACAGAGGAAUGGAUACAGAAAAUGUACAUUUAUACAAUGGAAUAUUACUCAGCUAGUAAAAACGAUGAUUUCAUGAAAUUCUUAGGCAAAUUGAUGGAACUAGAAAAUAUCAUCCUGAGUGAGGUAACCCAAUCACAAAAAAAAACCCCAAAACCAAACCAAACCAAACCAAACCAAAACAACAACAACAACAAUAACAAAAACACAUGGUAUGCACUCACUGAUAAGGGAAUAUUAGCCCAAAAGCUUGGAUUACCCAAGAUCCAAUGCAAUGACCACAUGAAGCUCAAGAAUGAUGAUGACCAAAGUGUGAUGCCUCAGUCCUCCUUAGAAGGGGGGACAAAAAUAUUCAUAGGAGGUAAUACCGAGACAAAGUUUGGAGCAGAGACUGAAGGAAAGGCCAUCCAAAGACUGCCCCACCUAAGGAUUCAGCCCACAUACAGCCACCAAACCUAGACCAUAUUGUUGAUGCUGAGAAGUGCAUGAUGAUAGGAGCUUGAUAUGUUGUCUCCUGAGAGGCUCUGCCAGAGCAUGACAAACACAGAGGUAGAUGCUCGCAGCCAACCAUUGAACUGAGAAUGGAGUCCCCAAUGGAGGAGUUAGAGAAAGGAUUGGAGGAGUUGAAGGGGUUUGCAACCCCAUAAGAACAACAAUGCCAACCAACCAGAGUUCCCAGGGACUAAACCACCAUCCAAAGACUAUACAUAGACAGACCCAUGGCUCCAGCUGCAUAUGCAGCAGAAGAUGGCCUUGUUGUGCAACAAUGGGAGAGAAGCCCUUGGUCCUGCCAAGGCUAGAUGCUCCAAUCUAGGGGAAUGUCAGGGUGGGGAGGCAGGAAGGGAUGGGUGGGAGAACACCCUCACAGAAGCAGGGGGCGGGGGAUGGGAUAGGGGGUUUAUGGAUGGGAAACUGGGAAAGGGGAUAACAUUUGAAAUGUAAGUAAAAAAUAUCGAAUAAAAAAAAAGAUCUUAAUGCCUUAACCACAGUGUUUGCCUUCCCCUUUCAGGGCCAACCAGGUCAAACCUUCCCAGUGUCAGCCUUGGAACAAAUUCUACCUGAAGCUCAUGUGCAAACACAGAGCUGGGGCCACACCAUUUCCUGGAGUGGUGCAGGGAUGCUGCGUUAUUCUCUCUCUCUCUCUCUCUCUCUCUCUCUCUCUCUCUCUCUCUCUCUCUCCAUUUCUUCCUUUCUUUCUCAAAUGCUGUUACCUCCCCCUCCUGGUCCCUCCCCAAAACCCCCUUCCCUUUUCCUCUGAGAGUGGCCCCCUUGGGUAUCCCCUACUCUGGCACAUCAAGUCUCUGCUAGAUUAGGUGCAUCUUCUCCCACUGGGGCCAGACCAGGCAGCCAUUUUUUUUAUAUUUAACUAAUUUUUAAUUUACUUUUUACUUAUUGACUUUACAGUCCACUCACUGACCCCCACCCCUGUCACUUCCUCCCACAAUUCUUCCCCCCUCUCCUCGUCCUCUGAGCAGGUAGAGCUCCCCAUGGGUAUCCCCCCACCCUGGCACUUCAAGUCUCUGCAAGGCUAGGUGAUUCUUCUCCCACGGGGCAAGGCAGCCCAGAUAAUAUUCCAUAUACAAGCAACUUGAGAUAUCCCCAGCUCCAGUUGUUUGGGACCCAUAUGAAGGCCAAAUUGUACAUCUGCUACAUUUGUGUGGAGAGGCCUAGGUCCAGCCUGUGCAUGUUUUUUUUUUUUUUUUUGGUGGGUGGUUCAGCCUCUGAAAGCCCCAAUGGUCCAGGUCAGUUGAUUCUGUUGGUCUCUCUCUGGAGUUCCUAACUCCUUUGGGGCUGCAAUCCUUCCUCCUAUACUUUGAUAAGAAUCCCCAAGCUUCAUCCAUAUUUGGCUGUGGGUGUCUGUAUCUGUCUUGAGUCAGCUGCUGGGCCCCUCAGAGGAGGACAACAUGCUCCUGUUGGUAAGCAUGACAGAGCAUCAUUAAUAGUGUCAGGAAUUAGUGCCUGCCCAUGGGAUGGGUCUCAAGUUGGGAAGGUUACUGGUUGGCCAUUCCCUUUUCCAUCCCCAACCCCUGCAUUUCUUGUAGACAGGAUAAGUAUUGGGUCAGAAGUUUUGUGGGUGUGUUGGUGUCCUUAUCUCUGCACCAGGGUUCCUGCCUGGCCACAGGAGGCAGCCUCCCCAGGCUCCAUAUCCCCAGUGCUAUGAGUCACAACUGGGGACACCCCCAUUGAUUCGUGGGUGCCUCCCCUGUCCCAGGGCUCCAGUUCUUCCUGGAGAUGCCCCCUAUCUCUCAUCAGUUGCAGAUUUCCAUUUGUUCUCAUGGCCAUCUGGCCAUCCCCCUGCCUCUCCCUACACCCGAUCUGGAACACUUUACUCCCUAGCACUUGAGUGAAAGGCAGAAUUUUUAGGAAAAAUGUCUUCUCUUCUUUCCUGUCUUUGAAGAGUUCGGGAACUGAGUGGGUCCGUCUUAGGACCAAAGUCAACUGAUUUUGGGAGAAUCCACAUUAUGCUUCGAGGAUACACUUCCAAGAGGGAAGCUCAGCAUGGAAGACGCAUCAUGCUAUCUCCAGGUGACCCUUGUCCAGUUCCCCUACUCUGCAAGCACACUGAGUGACCGAAGAGAUGCUCAAAAUCGUUGCAUAAGCUUGCCUUGACCUAAAUACCUAAGAAGAGUAUGUCGGUCCCUUGAAUAGGGUCAAUGAGAGCAAUAGCUUGUUAACUUCACUUAGCCCUGUACUUGGAUAAGAAAUGUUACUCAGAGAAACUGUCCGUUUGUCUAUGUGUGUGUGGUGUUGUGUCUGAUAGGGUCUCAUAUAGCCCAGGCUGACCUUAACUAUAUGCCUGAGAAUGAUACUGAACUCCUCGAGGAGGAGGAGGAUCUUCCUGAUUCUAUCUCUUUAGUGCUGGGAUUAUAAGCAUGUAUCACCAUAGCUGUACAAAGUUUGGAGACUUUGUACAUGCUAGGCAAUCACUUUACCAACUGAGCUACAUUUUACACACACUGCACCUUGUAAUUCUGUCUUUAUAGAAAGUGCACAGUCUACCUUGCCCUUAUCUGUGUAUGUGUCUAUCUCACAGACCAGGAAAAAUGACAAAAUCUCAGUAUAUGGAGAGACAUGGCCUAUUGGAUAUGACAGUGCCCUGGCUAGUUUUAUGUCAACUUGACAUAAGCUAGAAUCAUCAGAGAAAAGGAAGCAUCCAUUGAGAAAAUGCUUCUAUGAGAUAGGGUUAGGUAAGCCUGUAAGGCAUUUUCUGGGAGGGCCCAGUCCUUUGUGGGUUGCGCUGUCCCUGGGCUGGCGUCUCUGAGUUCUAUCAGAAAGCAGGCUGAGUAAGCCACAGGAGAAAGGCAGUACCCAGCACUCCUCCAUGGCCUCUGCAUCAGCUCCUGCCUCCAGUUCCUGUCCUGCUUGAUUUUCUGCCCUGACUUCCUUUGGUGAUGAACUAUGAUGUGGAAAUGUAAGCCAAAUAAAUCCUUUUCUCUCCAA